rnacentral:lncRNA from 1 species
GCUGAAGCGCGGAGCGCGAGAGUGACUUGCGGGACCUCCGCGCUCCAAGUUUCAGGGAAGUGCGGUUCUAUUCGCUCACCGAACUUUCUCCACACAUCUUUGUAGACGUCGUAUCCCGUCGUCCAGUCAAGGACUUGUUUUCUAAUCUGUACCUUAAAAAAAACUUCCUCUGUGAGUUCUCUCCGGGACUCGCGCUUGGGAGGCCGGCUAGGAAAAUCCCUCUUUUCAUUGGUUAUCGAGGUUGUCACUAUAGGCCUCCCUGGUCUCUGAUUGGUUCUUGGGAACGAGGCUGCAAAUUUCCCCUAUGGAUCGCUCAGCUUGCGCUCUGCCUAGUGUGGAAGGCGUUCUCCACACGGUUAGCUGCCUAUUUCCACAGAAUCCGAAGUUAGCGCUCUGAGGUCGUGGUGACGCGGUCGGGAGCGCACGGUACUGCUGGCUUCUAUCCCUCGUGGUCCCACUUCACCGCCUCCUUUUACGGCCACCUGUCCUUCCAGGGGGUCUUUCUUGGAGCACCGUCACCUGGAGUCACCUGUAGAUUGAGGUGUGCAUGGCAACCCCCCCGGCUCGCUGCGGGUGCUGGAAAAGGGAGGCGGGCCAAGGCCUCCGGCCCUAGAAAGUUGAGCAAGACCUGGCAACCUUCCCACAGAGGUGAUCAAUAAGUGCUUGUGGAAAGAACAAAUGAAUGGAUGGAUGGAGGAGGAGUCAGAAGGAGCACUCAGGAUGCCUUCCAGCUUUUCCAUGUGGGAGCAAGAAGUGAUGGUGAUCCUGGAGGAAGAGUCAACAUUCGCUCUUUUGAGUUUAUUUAGAAGACAGAGCUGCAUCAAGAGGACAUCCUCUUGCUAGGAGGUGGUCUUGCAUCCUUGUGACAGGGACACAUCCAGUGGGCUGCUCAAGUCAAGUCAAAGAAAGGGAAGUCUCAGGUGGAAGGAACAGAAGAAAGGAGAUGGUUGAAGAGGAUGGCUGCCAAGAUGUUGCUUUCAGGUUUCCCUGGUCCUGCUGGCCUGGGGGCAAUGUGAGAACUUAGUCGGGGGCAGCAGAAAGCUCACUAACUCACUCCCGGUGCGUGAGCUCACCCACGCAGGACCCUCUGCGUGCCUGGCUCUGUCACCACGGCACAUGUCGUGCUGGGCUUCCCCCUGUUUCCCCAGGCCGUGUGCAGACUUUUCUCAAGGGCUAAAAGAAGGUGUGUUUCUAUGAGGCUUCCACUCUAGAAAAGCAAAUUCCUUCCGUCCCAAGACAUCCAGCUCCUCUAAUUGGAAUCUCCAAUGGAUUCUAGAGGUUCUCCAGCAAACAGGCCUCAUUAUUCAGAGAGCCCCCAGAACCUCUUCCCAGCAGCCCAGCCCUGCUGAAGGAAUCCUUCUUGUGAAGCUCUCCGUGCCUCAGGUCCCAGCAUUUCAACGCACUUCAGCACAUUGUCACGCUGUUUGGGGUUGAUGGCAAAGCCGUCAAAUGUUUUCAAAGAGAAGAGGGAGGAAAAUCCCACACCCACCCCACUAGAGUCUUCUUAGGAAACAUCCACAGGCAUGGCUUGGUCUCCACAUUGGAUCUGGAGCUGAGAAUCCAUCUGGAUGAGAGUUGGUGAGAGACCACGGGUUCUCAGGGCUCCACCUGAUGUGGUUCCUCCAACAAAGCUUCUUUUGGGAUCUUCCCCACUCCUUCCCCUUCCCAGCUUCUAAGGACAUCUUCAGCUGCUUCUCUCUCCCUCUCCCCCAGCAACAGGGCUUGAUUCAGGCACCUUUGACUGAAUUAGUAACUCCUCAAAUGCAGCAUAAACAAGAUAAAAUUGGAGGGAGAGUAUAAAUGAGAAGAUGGAAAGGUUUCCUGUAUUAAAAUGCUCGCUGUGGUAUCACAGAAGCAUGAUGAGAUAAUUCGCUGAGAUUACUUUGUGCUUCGUGGAUGCUGCUAGAGUAGAAUCAGAGACUGCGUGCAAUCUAUUUGAGAUUUUGGUGUUUUUCCUCCUGUCCAGCCCCUUUCCAAGCAGGCAUCCUCUCUUGUCUCAGGUAGAGUGAACUGGACUCUAUCUCAGAUAAGCCUUCAAGGAAGGAAUGCAGGCUUUCCUCACCAUUGCUUCCAGGUCCAUCAGCUCUUUGCAGCAGGCUAACAAUGUUCCCAUAAAACACUCUUCCUGGGCCUCAGUUUUCUUAUCUGUAGAAUGGGAUUCACCCGUAUGGGGUUAUUAUGAGGAUUAAAGGGAGUCGGGGGAGAGAACUAUUAAGCAUGUAUGUGAGUCAGGGUUCUCCAGAGAAACAGAAACAUCAUCAUAUAAAUAUCUGUAUCAGUAUCUAUACCUUACCCUACCCCCCCAUGUGUUUGUAUAUGUGUGUGUGUGUGUGUGUGUAUACAUUUAUUUCAAGUGAUUGUGGGGGCUGGCAAAUCUGAAGUUUGCAGGGCAGGCCAGCAGGCUGGAAACUCUCAGGGAGGAGCUGAUGCUGCAGUCUUGAGGCAGAAUUUCUUUCUCUUUGGAGAAACCUCGGUUUUGCGCUUAAGGCCUUUCAAUUGAUUGCACGAGACCCACGCACAUCAUGGUGGAUAAUCUCCUUUACUUAAAGUCAACUGAUUGCAGGUGGUCACCACAUCCACCAGAUACCUCCGUAGCAAUACUUAGAUUAGAGUUUGAUUGCAUAAAUGAGGUCCUACAGCCAGGCCACGGUGAUGUAUAAAGCUGGCCAUCCGAGCGUGACCUCCCUAAUCUAGCCAGCUUGUCCCCAUGCACGUAGGCUGCACCGACCAGCUGCCCCUGACCUCCAGGGAAGCUUCCUUUCUCCUCCUACACCUCUGUCUCCCCUGUUAAGGUCGCCCCCUUCCUCCACUCUGACCUCUGACCUGGCUCUUCUCCUUCUUGCUUAUUUCCCCUGUGGUUAGGGGAACUGGCAGGGGGUGACCUUUGGGUUCUUGGGGUGGCAGAGGGGAGGAAAACCAAAGAGGGGGUCUGAACGCAUGGAGGCAGCUUGCUUCUCCUUUCUUCUUAUUGACAUUGGCUGUUAAAGGAAAGAAGAAUCAGACCUCAUCCACUGCCAGCAUGAAUCUUAGGCCAGAACUCGCUGUAGAUUUUAGAAACUCAUUCAACUGAAAAUGUGUCUGUCUCCUUCCCCUUCUGGAAUUAUGUCAGAAAGCCCCCUUCCUUGUUCCUUGCUCCAUCCAGCUCCUUUUCCUUGAUCAUAAUAAGCGGGGGAGUGAAGGGCUGCCCUAUCCUGGCUGGUGGCUGUCACCCAGCACAGAGUUUUGAUUGGAAGAUGACAUCCUGGCAUGUGUUUUUCAAUCAGUUUUCAAGUGUGUCCCCCCCCCCCCGCCACAGGCUUAUGCCUCUUUAGCUGCAAACUCAUUACAUACAGUGUGUCACAGUCUCCCCAGGUGUAAAAUUUUAUUUUAAAACCCUGUGUGUUCCAGCAUAUUUACAGAUGAAAUUUAUACUGUUUGGGAUUUGUUUCAAAAUAAUGCAGAAGGGGGACAUGCGUAGGGUAUCAUGGAAACCAGAUCAGCUGUGGAAAUGAUCACUGUUGAAGCCAGGUGGUGGGUAUGUGGGGGCUCUUCAUUGGUUCUACUCUUCCGUGUACUGUUGACUAUGUUUGCAAUUUUACAUAGUGAAAAAUUUAAAAAGAGAAAAAAAAACCCACAUUAUAAAGUCCUGAAGUAUGUUUUCAAAUAGUAUUUCUCAAGAAUGUAGUCACGGUUCCACAGACAUUUGAUUAAAAUUUCAGUUUUUAAUAUAUUCAUAACUCCUUAAAGCUUGGGACAACAGGAUGCGGGAGUGUAGCACUCUGGGGGACAAACUCUGUAAAGGGCUGGUCAGCGUUUUUGGCUUUGUGGGCUGUGCAGCUGUACAGUGUAAAAGCCUUGAAUGCACAUGGCUCUGCUCCAAUAAAACUUUAUUUAUG